CAAAAUGCAAUUUUUAUAACUUAUAACUGGUCGGAUCUCGAUAACAAUCUUUAACUUUAAAAACUUUUCGCGUAAUGAGCUUUAUCGUCUGGCGGAAGGACACCGAUAGUCGGGCGUUAGACUCUCCAUCCAGUAGUGCCACCUUGCGGAAGAAAUCAGCCAUCAUAGAGCAAAACGAUAACAGGAUAUAUUUUUUCUCCAGUAUGAAAUAUUUGGCCAAAGUAUGUCAAGUGAUAAAGAAGGAAAAUAAGAGUUUCAUGACUGUAUUUAGGUAUAUGUCUACAAUGUUGUAUCACAGAUUAUAAAAUUUAUAAAGUUUAAAGUUUCAAGUAUGAUAUAUAUGAGAGAUUCAUGAAGUCUGGCAUGGUGAAUUUGUGCUUAAAAGAUAUUAGCCUAAAAAUCUUUCCAGCCAUUGUAAUUACAUAUAAAAAAGUAAGAAAGAAUAUAAUACAAUAGAAAUAUAUUUCAGUAUACCAUUUCAUCCAGCAACUGCCAAUUAGUUGAUAUAUUGAAUUCACUUGAAAUCUACUACUGAAAUUCUUUUCAAGACAUAAAAAUGGCAUAGCACUAGACAAAAAAAAAUCUUUUAAUUCAAAAAAGAAACAUUUUCAAUCACUGUCAAUUGGUCUACAUCAAUUUAAAAAAAUUUAGAUAACAGAUAACUGCAUGCAUAAAAGAUCUUACAAUCUAUGAAACUUUGUCACUGUGAGAUAGUAUCAAUUCAAGAACUAAAGUCAAAUGCUGAAAAUUGAAACAGAAUCAUUAUGAUCGAUAAUGUGUGGUUUCACCACAUUAUUAUAUUAAGGGAAUCUGCGAUGAGUCCCAUGUCUCCUAUCCCAUUGUUUUGUAUAAUUUUGACCCUAGCCAAUCUAUCUGCAAAUUAUGUUCAAAUGCUCUUGUUCCAAGUACUAUGUAAUCCUACCUUUCAUGAUAUCUUUUUGGUUCUCUCUAAUUCAAGUGCUAAGAUUGCAUUAAAAGUGCACCUAUAUAUACCUCAUCUCUUUUUAGGCUGUUAUUCUUGAUAUGAAUUUGGUUGAUGCCCAGCCUCACGUUAGGUUGAAUGGGCAACUUAUCAUUUCUCAGAUAUUGUAAAAUCAUAUUGGUUCUUUUGUAUGUGAUUAUCCAUUCUCCAAUCCUCUCCAAUAGUCUGAGAUUCUUUUUGAUAGUUAUACAACACAACAAAGAUAUGCAGUCCUACAACCAAUGUGUUGUAGGACUGCAUAUCUUUGUUGUGUUGUAUAACUAUCAAAAAGAAUCUCAGACUAUUGGAGAGGAUUGGAGAAUGGAUAAUCACAUACAAAAGAACCAAUAUGAUUUUACAAUAUCUGAGAAAUGAUAAGUUGCCCAUUCAACCUAACGUGAGGCUGGGCAUCAACCAAAUUCAUAUCAAGAAUAACAGCCUAAAAAGAGAUGAGGUAUAUAUAGGUGCACUUUUAAUGCAAUCUUAGCACUUGAAUUAGAGAGAACCAAAAAGAUAUCAUGAAAGGUAGGAUUACAUAGUACUUGGAACAAGAGCAUUUGAACAUAAUUUGCAGAUAGAUUGGCUAGGGUCAAAAUUAUACAAAACAAUGGGAUAGGAGACAUGGGACUCAUCGCAGAUUCCCUUAAUAUAAUAAUGUGGUGAAACCACACAUUAUCGAUCAUAAUGAUUCUGUUUCAAUUUUCAGCAUUUGACUUUAGUUCUUGAACUGAUACUAUCUCACAGUGACAAAGUUUCAUAGAUUGUAAGAUCUUUUAUGCAUGCAGUUAUCUGUUAUCUAAAUUUUUUUAAAUUGAUGUAGACCAAUUGACA
rnacentral:lncRNA from 1 species